rnacentral:misc_RNA from 1 species
AGCAGCCGCGGUAAUUCCAGCUCCAAUAGCGUAUAUUAAAGUUGUUGCAGUUAAAAAGCUCGUAGUUGAAUUUCGGGAUCAGUUGGUCGGUCGUGCCUCGGUACGUACUGGUCAAAUUGAUUCCUACCUUCUGACGAACCACGAUGUCAUUAAUUUGGUGUCGUGGGAAAUCAGGACUGUUACUUUGAAAAAAUUAGAGUGUUUAAAGCAGGCUCGCGCUUGAAUACAUUAGCAUGGAAUAAUGAAAUAGGACGUUUGAUUCUAUUUUGUUGGUUUCUAGGAUCGACGUAAUGAUUAAUAGGGAUAGUUGGGGGCAUUAGUAUUCAAUUGUCAGAGGUGAAAUUCUUGGAUUUAUUGAAGACUAACUACUGCGAAAGCAUUUGCCAAGGAUGUUUUCAUUAAUCAAGAACGAAAGUUAGGGGAUCGAAGACGAUCAGAUACCGUCGUAGUCUUAACCAUAAACUAUGCCGACUAGGGAUCGGAUGAUGUUAAUUUUUUAAUGUACUCAUUCGGCGCCUUA